rnacentral:rRNA from 1 species
GAUGAACGCUGGCGGCGUGCCUAAUACAUGCAAGUCGAACGCUUCACUUCGGUGAAGAGUGGCGAACGGGUGAGUAAUACAUAAGUAACCUGGCAUCUACAGGGGGAUAACUGAUGGAAACGUCAGCUAAGACCGCAUAGGUGUAGAGAUCGCAUGAACUCUAUAUGAAAAGUGCUACGGGACUGGUAGAUGAUGGACUUAUGGCGCAUUAGCUGGUUGGUAGGGUAACGGCCUACCAAGGCGACGAUGCGUAGCCGACCUGAGAGGGUGACCGGCCACACUGGGACUGAGACACGGCCCAGACUCCUACGGGAGGCAGCAGUAGGGAAUUUUCGGCAAUGGGGGAAACCCUGACCGAGCAACGCCGCGUGAAGGAAGAAGUAAUUCGUUAUGUAAACUUCUGUCAUAGAGGAAGAACGGUGGAUAUAGGGAAUGAUAUCCAAGUGACGGUACUCUAUAAGAAAGCCACGGCUAACUACGUGCCAGCAGCCGCGGUAAUACGUAGGUGGCGAGCGUUAUCCGGAGUUAUUGGGCGUAAAGAGGGAGCAGGCGGCACUAAGGGUCUGUGGUGAAAGAUCGAAGCUUAACUUCGGUAAGCCAUGGAAACCGUAGAGCUAGAGUGUGUGAGAGGAUCGUGGAAUUCCAUGUGUAGCGGUGAAAUGCGUAGAUAUAUGGAGGAACACCAGUGGCGAAGGCGACGAUCUGGCGCAUAACUGACGCUCAGUCCCGAAAGCGUGGGGAGCAAAUAGGAUUAGAUACCCUAGUAGUCCACGCCGUAAACGAUGAGUACUAAGUGUUGGGGGUCAAACCUCAGUGCUGCAGUUAACGCAAUAAGUACUCCGCCUGAGUAGUACGUUCGCAAGAAUGAAACUCAAAGGAAUUGACGGGGGCCCGCACAAGCGGUGGAGCGUGUGGUUUAAUUCGAAGCAACGCGAAGAACCUUACCAGGUCUUGACAUCGAUCUAAAGGCUCCAGAGAUGGAGAGAUAGCUAUAGAGAAGACAGGUGGUGCAUGGUUGUCGUCAGCUCGUGUCGUGAGAUGUUGGGUUAAGUCCCGCAACGAGCGCAACCCCUGUUGCCAGUUGCCAGCAUUAAGUUGGGGACUCUGGCGAGACUGCCGGUGACAAGCCGGAGGAAGGCGGGGAUGACGUCAAAUCAUCAUGCCCCUUAUGACCUGGGCUACACACGUGCUACAAUGGACAGAGCAGAGGGAAGCGAAGCCGCGAGGUGGAGCGAAACCCAUAAAGCUGUUCUCAGUUCGGACUGCAGUCUGCAACUCGACUGCACGAAGAUGGAAUCGCUAGUAAUCGCGAAUCAGCAUGUCGCGGUGAAUACGUUCUCGGGCCU